GACGAACGCUGGCGGCGUGCCUAAUACAUGCAAGUAGGACGCACAGUUUAUACCGUAGCUUGCUACACCAUAGACUGUGAGUUGCGAACGGGUGAGUAACGCGUAGGUAACCUACCUAUUAGAGGGGGAUAACUAUUGGAAACGAUAGCUAAUACCGCAUAACAGUAUGUAACACAUGUUAGAUGCUUGAAAGAUGCAAUUGCAUCGCUAGUAGAUGGACCUGCGUUGUAUUAGCUAGUAGGUAGGGUAAAGGCCUACCUAGGCAACGAUACAUAGCCGACCUGAGAGGGUGAUCGGCCACACUGGGACUGAGACACGGCCCAGACUCCUACGGGAGGCAGCAGUAGGGAAUCUUCGGCAAUGGGGGGAACCCCUGACCGAGCAACGCCGCGUGAGUGAAGAAGGUUUUCGGAUCGUAAAAGCUCUGGUG
rnacentral:rRNA from 1 species